GGGGAUAUAUCUCAGUUGGUAGAGCACUUGCCUUGCAUGCAUAAGGCCCUGGGUUCAGUCCCCAGCACCACCA
rnacentral:tRNA from 1 species